GUAAGCUGCUGAUCCUGAAAGCAGCGGAGAGCUGGCCAUGCAGCUGCAGGCAUGGGGCUGGCAGAAGCUGCAGAGCUGGACCAGACAGUUGAGAUAAAAGUGGACAGUGUGAGAAAGCUGUUAAUAAAAGCUGCUGCUGAACCUUUGUCAUUUCGGCAGAGCUGUCUGUCUUUGCAGACAGAUGGGAGGAGCCAGGUGCCCAGAGACAAAAAGAGGAAGAAACUAACUAAGGGAGAAAGAAAACAGGGGUUGACAGAGAGAGAUAGAAAAAGAAAAUGAGCAAGAGAGAGACUGGGAAAGACAGAGAUCAAAGAGAGACACAGAAGGGGAAGCUGUCACUAAGGCUGCAGAGGGGCUGGAGAGCUACACAGGGAAGAUCAGAACUACUGUUGUAAACAAGCCAAAAUCAACAGCCAAUUUGGAUACCAUCAAGACAAAUGAAACCUUAUCAUGAGCCAGAUUCUGGGAGGAUCCCGAGGACCCCUCAGUUGAAGCCAUGUCAAGACUGACGUUGAGGAAGACCCCAGCUUUCACGAGCAACACCCGUUUAACACAGCCACCCACCUGGGGAGAGAUCACGAAGCUGUCACAGAUUGUGGAAGAAAACCUGAGAAAAGCAGGACAACCAGUCACAAUGAGUAAUUUAAUGGUAGCUAUGAUAGCAGUUAUCACCCUGCCAUGAGUAUUCCUUCAACAAGGGCUGACACAGAGAACAAUUAUACUUACUGGGCAUAUAUAUCAAUCCUGGAUGGUAAUAAUGCCUGAAUAUAAUCACUCUAUGACACAGUUACACAUGCUUUCUGAUCUCAGUAUUUACCCUAAUAAAUUUGUUCCUAUAAUUGAGGCAUACCACCUUAAAAAACCUAUUUGUAAACAAAAUAGAACCUGGCCAGAAAUAAUGAAUGUACUUGUUUAGGAAGAUUGCUUUACAGAACAGGCAGAGGGGCUGCAUAACGAUUCCUAUGGAAUCUUUAUUGAUUGGUCCCCUAAAGGGAUGUUUAACCUAAAUUGCACCUCUCAGUCUGCAUGCCAUGGCCACACUAUGCUCAGCUGAUCUAAACAAAAUGGUCAGAUGGUAGAAAUGAUAAGAAGUAUGGCAAAAGUUCCUAUUAUCUGAAACCAUGGCAGUAUAGUGGCACCUCAACCUCAAAUGAUAUGGCUUAUUGUAGGAGGUAAACAUGAAGGAUUUGUGGAAACUAUUAAUAGCUCUUAAUAAGAUCAAAAUUUGGGAAAGAAUAAAAAAGUAUCUAGAAGGACACACUACAAACUUGUUUUUGGAUAUGGCAAAAUUAGAAGAACAAAUAUUUAAAACAUCUCAAGCACACAUGGCCUUAAUGCCAGGAACUGGAGUGUUUAAAGGAGCUGCAGACAGAUUAGCAGCUAGUAACCCAUUAAAAUGGAUAAAAAUACUUGGAAGCUCUGUAAUUUCAAUGAUGAUUGUGCUUUUAAUCUGUGUUGUUUGUCUUUGUAUAGUCUGCAGAUGUGGAUCCUGACUCCUGUGAGAAGUAGCUCACCAUGACAAAGCUGCCUUUGCUUUUAUCGCUUUGCAAAUCAAAUAAGGGGGACAUGUAGGGAACAGGCCCCCCCCAAAAUCUGGCCAUAAACUGGCCACAAAACUGGCCAUAAACAAAAUCUCUGCAGCACUGUAUCAUGUUCAUGAUGGCCAUAACGCCCACACUGGAAGGUUGUGGGUUUACCAGAAUGAGGUCAAGGAACACCUGGCCCGCCCAGGGUGGAAAACCUCUUAAAGGCAUUUUUAAGCCACAAACAAAAGCAUGAGUGAUCUGUGCCUUAAGGACAUGCUUCUAUUGCAGUUAACUAGCCCAACCUAUUACUUUAAUUUGGCCCAUCCCUUCGUUUCCCAUAAGGGAUACUUUUAGUUAAUUUAAUAUCUAUAGAAACAAUGCUAAUGACUAGCUUGCUGUUAAUAAAUAUGUGGGCAAAUCUUUGUUCAGGGCUCUCAGCUCUGAAGGCUGUGAGGGCCCUGAUUUCCCACUUCACACCUC
rnacentral:lncRNA from 10 species